UUGACGGUUUAUAGUUCACAAGAGCCAGGAAAGCUUCCCUUCUGCAUUUAUUCCAGUAAAUUCGCCAACCCUUCUUGAAGGGAGUUCUUGCUAGCCCCUAAAUAAAUUUCCCCCCACCCCCGCCCUGCAGCAUUUUAAAGCUCGUGUUUUAGCUGAUUCCUGGCCAGGCUCCUAGCCCAAGACUAGCCCCUCCCUACUGCUAGACGACUGUCCCAUUGACCUUUAUGACCCACAGAUGACCCCACUGGGCCUGGCUCACACUCUGCUUGUUGUGGCAGUAGGGCCAGAGGGUCAGUGUGGGAGGCCUGAGCUGCCCUGGGGGAAAGGAAGGAACAAAGGGGGCCCUCAGUUCCGAGCACCUGGGUAGAGAGGCUGGGCGGUGAAGUGGGUGGGGAAGGGAAGAAGGAGGGCAGCUGCCUGCAGGAAUGGAUAUAAAGGACAAGGAGGACCAUGGAGACUUUAACACUGGGCCUGGAUGGAGGAGGAGACCAAUGCUGCAAAGUCACAAUUCCCUUCCCAGUCCACCUCCCUCCCUCUGAGCCCAGAGGCCUCUUCCCUGCCCCCUGCCUCCCAACAUUGGGGCCAUUCACAGGGCCCCUCACCAGCUGCCCUCACUUCACCCAGCUCCCUCCCCUGGAAAGGGCCCAAGAGAAGGACCCAGCUGCAGCUCCAGAUGUGGAUGGGGCUCUCUGGGGGAGGGGAGCAAGGGGAGUCUGACUCCAGGCCUCUUACAUCACCCUCAGAUGAUGAAACCAUGUCAGAGAUUUUGGCAAGGGUGUGGACUGGGGUCUGAGGAUGCAUCUGUUGGUGCCAUCUUCCUCCCCUUCCCUCCUCCACUCGCAACCCACCACCCCCCGCAAUAACUGCUUCAUGCAGUAGCUCAGAUCCCUGUUUGGCUUGACCUAUUAAGGUCAAAUCAAAACCAAAGAUAAUUUUAAGAGCAAAUUUCAAGGGCCAAUCAACACACCCUUUUCAUCCCCAUGGCAAAGAGGAGGAGCACUGCGAGCAGUGCCCCCAGGAUGGAGGCUGGAGAGGAGGUCUUGGUGGGAUCCUGGACCUUUUAUUAGCAUUUGAAUCUAGAGGAAGCUCUCCCUGGGGCCAGGGGAUCGCCUCUCCUGGACCAGGAGGCUAGCAGAAUGUUGCAGUCAGAUCCUGCAACAUUCCUCCCCAUCUUCCAACCAAAAUAAGACGUGGGGAGGAGACUAACACAUAUGGACCACCUACACAAGACUUCCCAGAUGACCACCAAGGUGGAAGCGAUGGUGAUGCCAAGGCGGAAGGGAUGGUGAUGCCCAGGCAGAAGGGAGCUAGGCUGGCCCAGGCUUUUCCUGUAGGCAUAGCGGGCUCCAGGUUCAGCCUUCCCGGACGGUAAUGUUGCUUUCUGAAGAGCUAAUUUCCCGCCAACUCAUCUCUGGACUUCUCUGGGGCCCAACUCUGAUUUCCUGCCUGCAGGAGGUCCCCUCUGACUUCCGAUAGUAGAUGAUCCUUCUGACUCACAGUUCUACUGCUGGGAAAUGCCUCCAGAGCUGCUGCCCACCCCCUCUGCAUCCCUCCAGGUCACUGGGUGUCAAGUCAGGGGAAGCAGGGAUGCACAUGGGUGGGAAACUCAGGCCUCCUAAAUGUCAGAGCCUCAGGACUUUGGCUACUCAGAAGUAGCUCCCUCCUGGGCCAGGAAGCAGCAGGGCAGCCAGCAUCCCGACGUCACUCCUGGACUCUGCUGCUCAGAGGCUAGACAGAGAACCAAGGUGGGAAAGAGGCUUAAACCACAGCGUGGGGAGAUUUAGGUUAGGUGGGUCAGAGGAAGUUUAGGACAAGACUUGUCCUUUUCGGGCUCUGUCCAGCUUCAGCACAGCCACUGCUUCCUCUCUUUGGUUUUUCCCAUCCGCCUCUCUCCCACCACCUCUAUCCCCUUCCAGCUUUUCUUCUUUCUUUCCCCCCUUCCCAGACCCCAAAGUUUCUCAGGAUUAGCUGCCCAUGUGCAUAUCUCCCCCACCCCCAAAUCUUUCCUCACUGUCUCACAGAAACAGGCAAACACACACACAUGCACACAACCAUGAGUGGCCCUGAGAGUUCCCUGAUUGGACUGAGGUUGGAGCCCCAGCUCUUGUCCUGAGCUGAGGCCCUUCCCCCAGGUAUCUUGGGGCUUCUUCCAUCAUUUCUCUUGACAGGAGCUGUGGGCGUCUGGGCAGAUGGGAACCUGGGGGAGGUGUGGGGAGCACUCUCUGAGGCAGGAAGCUCCCACACUACUGUAGUUAAAAUACUCCGGCAGCAACUUGGGGCAGCCAUCUGGGAUGCCCAGAUUUCCCAGGACACUCAGCUCUCAACAACAACCCUAUAGGAACAAAUUAAAAACCUAAGAGAUAGUUGUAGGCCCUGGAAAUGUCUCCCAAAAGUGGCCUGAACUUGAGUUCUGUUUCCUUUUAUCUUCUUCAGGGUUAGCAUUGGGCAUUGGCAUUUACAAAAACUCUCUAAGCAUUAAGCAAAAGUUAUAGGAGUGGAAGAUACAGCAUUCUGGAUCUCCAGUCCUAAUACCCAGCCACACCCCAGCAGCUAUGCAUGGUUCCAUGGGAAAACAGGCAUAGCCCAUCCUGCUGGCAUAUAGUCCAGCCACAUCUUCCAAUGCCCACCUGGAGACUGAGCCCAGUUCUGCCCAGCAACAGGAGCUCAGAGCUCUAGAGAGCCUCUCCUGGGGUGCAGACUCAGGAGAUCUUAGCUCAGGAGCAGACUUAGCCUGACUUCCUCUUUUAUAGGAGGAGACAGACUUAGUUACAGAGGAAACCAGAGUUGUUAUAAAUAGCAAGGAAGGGAGAAAACUGCUAUGGAUUACAAACACACCAUCAAUCUUAAACUAUUUUUAGUUUCAAAUAAUAAUGAGAGUCUAAUUAAUGCUCUGUAUAACUUCAAAUGUGGGAUCUUUAUCUACCUUUCUACUUUGUGAUGCUUUCUAAUACAGUAUGAGGGCCAAAGGCAGGAAGAGCUAUGGGCAAUUCUCAAUGUUACCAAAUCCUAGAUAUGGAAAGAACCUGAGAAAUUUAGUCUAGCCCUUUCAUUUUCUGUGAAGAAACUGAGGCCCAGAGAGGUCAAAGGACUUGUCCAAAGUUGCACAGUAAGAUAGGGACUGAGCAGUGACUAAAAGCCUAGUCCCGGUACUCCAGAAGCAGGGCAGUUCCACAACAGCACAAUAGAACCCAAAGGCUAAACAUCUAUGGUUGGGCUGUUGGUGAGUUUAUAGCCUGGAUAAAAGUUAGGUCUGGGCCAGGUGUGGAGGCUCACGCCUGUAAUCCCAGCACUUUGGGAGGCUGAGGCGGCUGGAUUGCUUGAGGCCAGGAGUCCGAGACCAACCUGGCCAACAUGGCAAAACCUCACCUCUACUAAAAAAUACAAAACUUAGCCAGAUGUGAUGGCACAUGCCUGUAAUCCCAGCUACUCAGGAGGCUGAGGCACAAGAAUCGGUUGAACCCAGGAGGUGGAGAUUUCAGUGAGCUGAGAUCGCACCGCUGUACUCCAACCUGGGGAACAAAGCAAGACUCUGUCUCAAACAAACAAAAAAGGUCUGAAUGAAAUAGCAAAAGACAGCCCAGAAGCUGAAGUGUGGUCUUCUGCGUCCCAGAGUUUUGGGUUCAAAUCCCAGCUCUGCAACUGACUAGCUAUGUAACCCUGGGCCGGUGUGUAACUACUCCAAGCAUCAGCUCCCACAUCUCAAAAUGAGGAUAAUCACACUCACUUCAUUACAGGACUAUUAUGAGGUUUAAAUGAGGUAACGUGGGUCAAGCAUCCAGCACAGUGCUCAGCAAAAAAUGGAUGUUAAUUUCCUUCACAUUUCUCUUGGAUUCUCUAUCCCUUCUUCAAUGGACUCCUAUCCUCUAACUGGACAGAAGGGCAGAUUUGUCAUAAAGCAGUCACGUGAGGGAUAAGAAGUCUCACAUGAGUGUGAAUGAAGUUGGGGGUGGGCGGGGGAUAGUUUAUGGCAAUGAAGUUUGCCUGGCGCAAGUGGUCAGUGUCAGAUCCAGAGGGUGGGAGAAGACAGAUUUGCGGAAAAUUAUCCAUCCUCUGCUAACCACUCAGUGACGGGCCUCGGGGUCCGGGGUCAGUGUUUGCAGGGGAGGAGGGAGGCUGGGCAUGCUGGGUCCUCAUUGUACACAAAUACCCGGGCCUCAACCUCACCCGUGUGCCACACUGUGCCAAGGGUGUUACAUAACAUUUCUCUUUUAAUCCUCACAACAAUCUAUGAGGCAAAUACUCUUCUCGUCCCCAUUUUGCAGAAGAGGAAAUGAGCUCAAAGGUCACUUGGCUAGUGUAGUAGUCAUUAGUGCUGUCUCCAAAUAUUUCCGGCUCUCUGCCUUCUGGCACAAGGUAGGACUGCAUGUUCUCACUCUUCUUUGAUGCUAGCUGUGGACAUGUGAACAACUUUAACCAAUAAAACGUGGCGGAACUGAUGUGCGUUAGCUCUAGCGGAAGCAUUAAGACUCUGGCACCCUCACACCUAUGUUGUUCAUAGAGUGUAAAUGAGAAAUAAACUUUCAUUGUGUUAAACCACUGAA